rnacentral:rRNA from 1 species
GACGUAGGGGGCCAGCGUUGUUCGGAAUUACUGGGUGUAAAGGGUUCGUAGGCGGUGUGGCAAGUCGGGAGUGAAAUCUCUGGGCUCAACCCAGAGUCUGCUUCCGAAACUGCUGUGCUUGAGUGUGGGAGAGGCGCGUGGAAUUGCAGGUGUAGCGGUGAAAUGCGUAGAUAUCUGCAGGAACACCGGUGGCGAAGGCGGAUCUCUGGGCCGAUACUGACGCUGAGGAGCGAAAGCGUGGGGAGCGAACAGG